rnacentral:snoRNA from 1 species
GUGGAUGAAGAAAGGGUAGGUAGCUGAGCGGUGAUGAUCUAAUCGGCCCCUGACA